UGCGCAGGCGGCUUAUUAAGUCAGUGGUGAAAUCUCUCGGCUCAACCGAGAAACUGCCAUUGAAACUGAUAAGCUUGAGUAUGGCUGUGGUAGGCGGAAUAUAGCAUGUAGCGGUGAAAUGCUUAGAUAUGCUAUAGAACACCGAUCGCGAAGGCAGCUUACCAAGCCAUUACUGACGCUCAUGCACGAAAGCGUGGGGAGCAAACAGGAUUAGAUACCCUGGUAGUCC
rnacentral:rRNA from 1 species